ACGACACCGGAGAGGGAGCCUGAGAAACGGCUACCACAUCCAAGGAUGGCAGCAGGCGCGCAAAUUACCCAAUCCCGACACGGGGAGGUAGUGACAAUAAAUAACAAUACGGGGUUCUUUAGGAUCUCGUAAUUGGAAUGAGUACAAUUUAAAUCUCUUAACGAGGAACAAUUGGAGGGCAAGUCUGGUGCCAGCAGCCGCGGUAAUUCCAGCUCCAAUAGCGUAUAUUAAAGUUGUUGCAGUUAAAAAGCUCGUAGUUGAAUUUCGGGGUUAGUAGGUUGGUCAUGCCUCCGGUAUGUACUGAUCUCACUGAUUCCUCCUUCCUUAUGAACCGUAAUGCCAUUAAUUUGGUGUUGCGGGGAAUUUGGACUGUUACUUUGAAAAAAUUAGAGUGUUUAAAGCAGGCUAACGCUUGAAUACAUUAGCAUGGAAUAAUGAAAUAGGACGUUCGAUCUUAUUUUGUUGGUUUCUAGGAUUGACGUAAUGAUUAAUAGGGAUAGUUGGGGGCAUUAGUAUUCAAUUGUCAGAGGUGAAAUUCUUGGAUUUAUUGAAGACUAACUACUGCGAAAGCAUUUGCCAAGGAUGUUUUCAUUAAUCAAGAACGAAAGUUAGGGGAUCGAAGACGAUCAGAUACCGUCGUAGUCUUAACCAUAAACUAUGCCGACUAGGGAUC
rnacentral:rRNA from 1 species